rnacentral:rRNA from 1 species
AUACGUAGGGGGCGAGCGUUGUCCGGAAUGAUUGGGCGUAAAGGGCGCGUAGGCGGCCUGUUAAGUAUGGAGUGAAAGUCCUGUUUUCAAGAUGGGAAUUGCUUUGGAUACUGAUGGGCUUGAGUGCAGGAGAGGUUAUCGGAAUUCCCGGUGUAGCGGUGAAAUGCGUAGAGAUCGGGAGGAACACCAGUGGCGAAGGCGGGUAACUGGACUGCAACUGACGCUGAGGCGCGAAAGUGUGGGGAGCAAACAGGAUUAGAUACCCUGGUAGUCCACACUGUAAACGAUGAAUGCUAGGUGUAAGAGGUAUCGACCCCUUUUGUGCCGGAGUUAACACAAUAAGCAUUCCGCCUGGGGAGUACGGCCGCAAGGUUGAAACUCAAAGGAAUUGACGGGG